CGCCCUCAGAUCUUAAAAACUACUGAGGUUAGAGGGCUGCAAAUCGGUACGUUGAUCAUCCACAAUCCAAUCAUCAAACACACCAAAUUGCAACCAUCUAGCCUCGGUAGUUUUUAUUUUAUUUCAGGUCGAAGUUAGCCUAGAUCGCGUGUCUAGCAGUUUAAACGCGCCAUCAUUUUGACUUCAGUUAAUUCUUGUACCGUUACGUACCUGGAGUAGUAUGUGAUAAGAAAAUACCAAUCAAGCUAAAAGUUAAGAUCUAUAACACAGCGAUGAGACCAGUGUUAAUGUAUGGAGAAUCCUGAGGUGGAUUAUGGGAAUAUCGCUGCUUGAGAGUUGGAAAAUGAGGAAAUAAGGAAGGCAAGAUUAGUAAAGCUUACAGAGGUGAUAAGAGUGACACGAUUGAGAUGGUAUGGGCUUUUGUUGAGGAUGGAUGAGAGGAGAGAGUGAAGAGGGCUUGGGAGGAACCUGUUAGAGGAAGAAGAAUUAGAUGGAGAAAUAAAGUGACGGAAGAUAUUAAGAGAAGAGGUUUGGUGGAGGAUGAUGCCUUUGAUAGAAGACAGUGGAGAAGGCGCAUCUGGCAACCGACCCCUUAAUGUAGAGAUAAAGUUGGGAAAGAAGUACUUAGACUGACAUUUAUUAAACUCCAAGUCCGUAAAUUUCGCUGAAAUCUCAAAUUCUUGUUAUCCUCAAUUUUUGUACAGAAAAAUACUUCCUGCGAUGUUUUCAGCAGUGUCUAAAACCAAACAACAAUGAAUAUCAGGCGCAGAAUAAACACGGAAUCAACAAUGUCCUCGAUAUAGAUGACAGAGAAUGGCCGCCGGACGUUUGUUGUAGCCGCUGCUACAGUCAUCACACUGUUAGACAAUCAAUUCAGUCUGUAACAGACGUACCGUGGAACGAAUUAAUCCCUGUAUGUAGUAGAACGUUUCACGAUACUUAACAGUGGAUACUAACAGAAUGGUCGUUUUUUGAGAUCUUCAGCGUCAUUGUUAUCUACUAUAUAUUUGCUCUCUUCUCAAGGUGAUCCGAUUGUGUCUUCCGGCGUUUUAGAAUUGGGACUGAUGAGCUUUAAUUUCGCAUGCCGGUUUCGUUUCUAUUUCCACUCAACUCGAAAUGUAAACUAGCCUGCUACUCACAUUACACAAAUAUUUAGAAGAAAUGCCAACAAAUCUCAACACUAAUCCCGAAGGUCCAAGGCAGAGAGCGAGAGAGAGAGAGAGAGAGAAAUUUUUUUUUUUUUUCCUGCUGAUGUUGUAUCACCAGUGGAACUGUUACUGCUUUUUUCGUUUUCCUUCCAGGACAACUACUCUGCAUUUAUUGUAAUAUAUAUUUUAGCCCAUCAAGAAAAUGUUGCUGAUGGUUAUAAAAAUAAGUCAUGUAUUCGAAAGCCUUAACAUCCAUUAACGAAGUUACAGCUGAUUUUGGGUUAUUUGAAUCCAUUCCUAACAACUAAAGAACAUCAAAUUCCUCGCCUUCCAAUUAAAAAACUGAAAGCACAAAAUUCAACGACAAACAACCUGCACUCCUGUUGGUGGCGAUGCGUCCUGCCUAAGAAGCACCUGCUUAAAAUUCUGACGACCAGUCGGGAAUACCUCUCGCCUUUCCAUAAAAAAGGAUCGUUGUAUGACAAACUUGCUUUAACUGGCAAGGCUUUCGAGGGAAGAUGUUAAUCAAAUAAAAUUUCAACUGAUGUCUUUCAUUUGCCUCACAAGUCUUGGGAGAUGGCCGACAGCACAGGAGACCACAAUGCAGAUACUGUCAAUCGCUGAAGAUGCAUUUACGGGCCAUUUAUAUAUUUAUCAAUAUUCUUCAUUGGGCGAUUUUUCCAUAUUUUUCGGUCCCGUGUUUUUGACGAGAAGGCCUACGGCUCGACAACUCAGCCCCCGUAGGAGGGUAGUGACGUCAGUGGACCUCAUGCGGUGCACUGUAGACAUUACGUAAGGUUUUUUCAGCGUGCCUUCUGCCCCUAGCAGCAACCACUUUCGGUCCUUUUACAGUAUCUCCGUUCAUCUUCCCUUUCUUUAUCCUACUUUCCACUUUCUCCUAACACUUGAUUCAUAGUGCAACUGCGAGGAUUUCCUCCUGUUUACACAUUUCAAACCUUUUACUGGCAAUUUCCAUUUCAGCGCUGAAUGUCCUCAUAGAUCCCAGUUCUUGGCCUUUGGUCUAAUUUCUAUAUUCAACUCAACUCGACAAUUCAGCACUCAGUUUAUCCUGAAGGAAAAAAAAAGGGAAGCUGAACGCAGCCGGAGAGCAAUGGAAAAAAAGGAAGCUGAACGCAGCCGGAGAGCAAUGUAAAAAAAGGAAGCUGAACGAAGCCGGUGAGCAAUGGACCCGCCUUUUGCAACAGAACGCGUUACAGCUACAGGAUACAGCGAUGAUUCCCCACCUAAGUUUUCGUCUGCAAAAGCAAACUGAGCUGCUUAGUUUGCUUAUUUGUCAGCUGACGACGCCGAUCCGUUAUUGUAGUGAACAAAAACUAGCACCCUUUUCGCAAGCUCCUUUCAAAUAUGCAGUUGAUUUAAUUAUAAUUAAAAGCCUGGACAAGCCAGCCUUGUGGGCACUUAGAUUACUGAAAUGACGCCUCGCCACUAUUUCGGUAAACUUUGUUUCGAAAGCAGCAAUAAAAAACAAGUUUCUCGAAAAGUCAAGUCUUCUUAUGAAUUCUGCUCUCCCAGAAGCACGAAAGUUACCGACUGGAAUGGAAUUAAAUUGAACAUGAGUCUCAGCCAAAGGCCACAACCACUGGGACCUAUGAGGUCUUUCAGCGCUGAAACGGAAAUUUGAAGUAAAAAGGUUUGAAUGGUGUAACAGGAGGAAAACCUCGCUGAUGCACUAUGAAACCACCUUUAGAAGGCGGUGGAAAGGAAGAAGGACAAGAGAAUAUGAACAGAGGUAGAGUACAAGGAACGAUAGGGGUUGCAGGUAGGGGCCGAAGAGACACUGCAAAGAACCAUAAGUAAUGCCUACAUUGCACCGUAUGAGGUACACUGACGGCACUAACACCGCCCCUCUUCCUUCCACAGAGUAAGUAUUGAGUGGAAUCCGAGGUAGAAGUGAAAAUGAGCUUGAAAGAAUUUUUCCAAUCUGACAAUAAAACGUCCUAAAAUAAAUAAACAAAUACAA